GGUGGCGGUAUGUACAUCCGGAGUUGCUUGCAAUCCAUUAAUAAUGAUAAGAAGAAGUUAGGGUUGGCCCUAAUCCUAUGUUUAAUAAAAAAUUAAAAAAAUAAAAUACAGACAGAUUUGCUCAUAUGAUUAUAGGAAAAUAUGUGUUUGUACCAUUUGAAAAUGUGUAAUAUUUGUAUUAGUAGUAAUAAUAAUAAAUUACGGAUUGCACCCGACAAAACAUUAGAGAAGAAGAAGAAGCUUACGUCAUCUGAUGCGACACUUUCCACAGUUGGAGCUGAUGAGCAGAGCAUAACAGAGCCUAUGGGUUUGACGGAAGUGCUGUCAAGAGAACCGACUUCAGAUAAUACUACGAAUGUUUGCAACAUCUGCCACUGUCUUUUCAGUGAUGAGAAAAAAAAUGCCAAGAAGAAGUGGCGUGAGUGGCGACGUUGCAACACAUGUGAGCAGUGGUCACACCUGGCAUGUGGCUUCAAGAAAAACUUGUGUCGUCAUUGUCAGACUCCCAGAAGUUGAGCCUUGUUAUGUCUUUCAGAGCGAAGGUGAAACAUUAACAUGUUUAACGUUGAAAAAAUUGUCUUAUAGUACUACUUGGUUCUUUGCUGGAAUAAUGAGAGGGUGACUCGCUGUCCAAAGUGUUCAAAUCUGUAUGUUCGAAGAUACUGUCCUACAUAUGAUAUAAGUAGUUUCUGGCUUAUUAGAGUUCAUGGAUCUCCAUUGUGCAACAUCUUCAAGUCUGUGAAAUCAUUCACUUCUGUUUGCAGCUAAAAUGUAAAAGAAGCUUUUAUUGGAGAUGUGUUUGUGUUGUGCUAUCUGUCAUUAAACAUGUUUUUUCAAAAUGUAUUAUGCAUCACUGGGACUGCAAAAAAGACACUUCUAAUUUGGUCACAGUAUUUGUGACAUCUGUUUAUCAGAAAGCUGUCAAUGUUAGCAUUUCCUGUAGUUUGUCUUAAACAAUUGAUAAAUGCACAAUGCAUCAAUAAAAGCUUUUGUAU